UCAACCCUCAAGCCUGGCUUGUCAUUGGACCUCGUCGUUGAAGACGGGCCCGAAAGAUAACGACGGAGUCGUGUUCGACCCUAGAUGCAAUGAGCUUUUUUAGCACGCAUGAUAGUGAUCAAGCCGGCCUGGUCUUAACCAUUUAUUUUUCAA
rnacentral:misc_RNA from 1 species